ensembl:lncRNA
CAGUCCGUUACACUGGCGCGAAAUGUAUGAGAAGAUGGCGAACGUCAAGGCAGCAGGAGCUAACGUUAGCGCUCACCAAGAAAAAAAAAACACUUUAGAAAGUUCUGAUGACGAAACAGACAUUGAGAUGAAGCGACAAUAUGAAAAAGCAAAAAGACAAAAAAAGGUUGGAAAGGAGAGGGUCCUCACUCAGCUGAAGGAUACACUGAGGAAACCACUCCACUCUGAUCCACGCAGAACCAACCCGUUACAUAGUGAGGAGGAAGUUCAAGCCGAAACCGUGGACACAAAUGUGGAUUUGUUCGAUUACCCAGAGAAUUUUCAACCAACCGAUACCUUAGAUGCUGCUGAGGCAAGUGGAGAGAGCGUGGAACAGCCAUUAUUUGUCAGUGGUGAAGUGUUGAAAGCUUUGAAAGGUACAGUAUAAAAUACCUGAAAUGAGUUGUGCUAAGGGAUGCUAUGUGGAUAAUUAUGUCUUAAAUAUACUAUAUAUACAAUAAUACAUUUGUGAUUGUAAUUUUCUAUUGACUUGAUUUGUAUUUAAAGCAGUAAAAAGUGGUUGUACUGUAUUUCAUUUCUUUAGAUAGAUUCUGAGCAUUAAGCAUUUACAGUCUUUGUAAUCAUUCUAAGCAGCCAUCUUUCUUCAUAACUUUUUUAAUAGAAAUCUUUUCGACACCUCUAGAAAUCUCAACUGUGGCGUUUGGCAUCUUGUUCCUACCCCACUUACGAUGUGUUUUUACACGUAUUACCUGUGCUGUGCAUCAGGAGUGGAGCGGUACAUAUAUUCGUAUUGAACCAAUUUGGUACAAGGGUCACGGUUUUGGUGCACGCAUUUACACAGAAAAUACACUGCAAAGCGGAACUAUUGUUAGAUACGCAUGUUCUUUGGGGACACAUAAUAUGUGACGCGCGUCCUAUUCGCUUUGGACUAAUGUCAAACUAGACGCAAAUUUUAAGCAUUUCUUUGUUUGCGUUGAUUACAAUGCUGGAGUGUGUGUGUGCUCGCACGCGCGGUAGAGAGAGAAAGAUAUAGUGUGUUCACUGUAGCACAAGAGAGAUCGAGACAGAGAAGCAAUUUGUCCUCGAGUGUCACAAAUACAAAAUUCCCACCUUAGUGCAGUGUGUCAAGGAACUAAUAUCCUCAAUGAACACAGGGAUCGAUACAGCAAGCACAAGCUCAGGGUCCUCCAGCUCAGCCCAAGAGAUGAUUUCUCUGGGCAACAUGGCUGUCCAAGUCAACAAAACCUGCUUUAGGAGAUUGAAUAGGAGCAGAAUGUCCCUGUUCACUCAAGAGUUAGCUGUUUUGUUGUUUGGGAGGGAGGUUCUGGGUUCAUCUAGCCUCACUGGGAAUAGGUCCCAAAAAAAGAAAGGCUGAACCCAGAAAAAAUGAAUGCACUUAUCGACACUGUCAUAUCUGAGUUUCCGGGCACGUCACAGUCCGAGGUUAGAGCAGUAAUACGGCGAAAGUGCAAUAACGAAAGUUUUGUUUCAAAAAAAAAAAACACUGUAAAGGUAAUUUUUUGUUGUUGUUGGGAAAGGAAUGUGAAAGUAAAGAAGAAAUUUGUGUUUUGUUCAUAUAAGAUACGUACAGUAAUCUGUAGUUUAAUCAUUUUAUUAAAGGGUUAGUUCACCCAAAAAUCGAAAAGUUCUUUGUAUUUAGUCACCCGCGUGUUGUUCUAAACCCUUAAGAUUCCAUUAACCAUCGCAUCACAAAAUAUUAUAUUUAUGAUGGAAUCUGAGCGCUGGAUAAGUCUUCCAUUGACUUCCAAGGGGCUUAAACUUGCUCGAUCAGAAAUCGUAUUAAGACAUUGUUUGAAAUUGUCUAAGUGACUCCAGUGGCUCAACCAUCCAUUUAUCAAGCGACGAGAAUAGUUUUUUUUGUGCCAAAAACAAACAAAAAUAACGAAUUUAUUCCAAUAUCCAUUUACUCGUGUUGUGCUUGAAAGUUGUUUACGUAGUGUAUCUGCGCGAGCUUCUGGGUUCUACGUCACCAGGCAUCACACACAUGACCUGCGUUGGCCAAUAGUGAGCCUGUAUGGUGACGUAGAACCCAGAAGCGCUGCGCAGAUAGACUACGUAAACAACUUUGAAGCACAACACUAG